rnacentral:rRNA from 1 species
AGUGAACGCUGGCGGUAGGCCUAACACAUGCCAGUCGAACGGCAGCACAGUAAGAGCUUGCUCUUACGGGUGGCGAGUGGCGGACGGGUGAGGAAUAGAUCGGAAUCUACUUUUUCGUGGGGGAUAACGUAGGGAAACUUACGCUAAUACCGCAUACGACCUACGGGUGAAAGCAGGGGAUCUUCGGACCUUGCGCGAUUGAAUGAGCCGAUGUCGGAUUAGCUAGUUGGCGGGGUAAAGGCCCACCAAGGCGACGAUCCGUAGCUGGUCUGAGAGGAUGAUCAGCCACACUGGAACUGAGACACGGUCCAGACUCCUACGGGAGGCAGCAGUGGGGAAUAUUGGACAAUGGGCGCAAGCCUGAUCCAGCCAUACCGCGUGGGUGAAGAAGGCCUUCGGGUUGUAAAGCCCUUUUGUUGGGAAAGAAAAGCAGCAGGUUAAUACCCCGCUGUUCUGACGGUACCCAAAGAAUAAGCACCGGCUAACUUCGUG